CCCAGGUCAGGUCGGACUACCCGCUGAGUUUAAGCAUAUCCAUAAGCUUAGCAAACAUCUUUAUUUUCAACUCCCUUAAAUUUCUUUCAUUUCUACCUUUUAUAUAUAAUUUAUCAUAACAUAAUAA
rnacentral:rRNA from 1 species